GAUGAAGAACGCAGCGAAAUGCGAUACUUGGUGUGAAUUGCAGAAUCCCGUGAACCAUCGAGUUUUUGAACGCAAGUUGCGCCCGAAGCCUUUUGGCCGAGGGCACGUCUGCCUGGGCGUCACGCAUCGCGUCGCCCCCCACAAUUCUCCGUAAAGGGAACGUGUGUUUUGGGGGCGGAUAUUGGUCUCCCGUGCUCAUGGCGUGGUUGGCCGAAAUAGGAGUCCUUUCGAUGGACGCACGAACUAGUGGUGGUCGUAAAAACCCUCGUCUUUUGUUUCGUGCUGUUGCUCGCAAGGUAAACUCUUUAAAAACCCCAAUGUGUCGUCUCUUGACGACGCUUCGACCGCGACCCCAGGUCAGGCGGGACUACCCGCUGAGUUUAAGCAUAUCAAUAAGCGGAGGA
rnacentral:misc_RNA from 1 species